CCUACGGGUGGCAGCAGUAGGGAAUAUUGCUCAAUGGGGGAAACCCUGAAGCAGCAACGCCGCGUGGAGGAUGAAGGUCUUCGGAUUGUAAACUCCUUUUGUUAGAGAAGAUAAUGACGGUAUCUAACGAAUAAGCACUGGCUAACUCCGUGCCAGCAGCCGCGGUAAUACGGAGGGUGCAAGCGUUACUCGGAAUCACCGGGCGUAAAGCGCGCGUAGGCGGGAUGGCAAGUCAGAUGUGAAAUCCUAUGGCUUAACCAUAGAACUGCAUUUGAAACUGUUAUUCUGGAGUAUGGGAGAGGUAGGUGGAAUUCGUGGUGUAGGGGUAAAAUCCGUAGAUAUCAAGAGGAAUACUCAUUGCGAAGGCGACCUGCUAGAACAUAACUGACGCUGAUGCGCGAAAGCGUGGGUAGCAAACAGGAUUAGAUACCCCUGUAGUC
rnacentral:rRNA from 1 species